UGACACUUUAUCUGUUUUAUUAUUUUUUCCUGCAGAUUAAGGUAAAAUAAAUACACAAGGUAAGUAAAUAAAGAUGUUAAGUUGGGAUACGUUUACAUUUGACUUUUUCUACAUUUAAUUGACAGUAGUGUAAUAUUUUGUCUUUGUGUCUUUUAGCUGCAGAAGGAGACAACAGGCAAUGGUAAAUACAACUAAAAUGUCCUUCAAGUAUUUCUCUGAUGUAGUUACUCACUCUGCAUUCUAAUGCUUUCACUUACUAGAGACGACCGAUCUGGACCAUGGUCCUGCAGUCCAAGGAGAUGUCAAACGGAUUGCAGGAAAUUCGGCUGCACAAUUACAUUCAGUAAGAAUGACAUAUCGUGGCUUAUUCGUAGUCUGUACUUGACGUCAUGUGCUCCUGAAGCCAAUGUUUUCAUUUUGGUUGCGACAGGUGCAGCUGUGGAGGAUGGAGACAACAGACACCAUAGGACUACCUGGAGAGAAGUUGUCACCUGUGUGUAUAGAGGCUCAAUGCUCAUCCUUCGCCUCUUUGCUCCCUCCAGCCUCCGGUCCCGACAGAGGGGAGCCUCCCAGUGCUAACCACAUAGAGGAAGUGUCUUUAUCACUGCUCCCUCUGUGCUGCUGGGUUUGGGAGACUCCUCACAUAAUCAGUGGUGUUGACCUCCAUCUGUAAACAGAAGACAGUCAAGACAAGUCAUAUUCAUAAAUAAUUUGAAACAAAUUGUAAUAAAUACGUUUCAUGUUAAACCUCA
rnacentral:lncRNA from 1 species